CAAAGCUCAAGGCCUUCGCUUUGCUGUGGUUGUCGCCCGUUUCAAUGAGAUUGUGACAAAGCUGCUACUGGAGGGAGCUCUGGAGACUUUCCGCAAGUAUUCAGUUAAUGAAGAAGACAUUGAUGUUGUCUGGGUCCCUGGUAGUUUUGAAAUUGGGUUUGCUGCAGAAAAGCUGGGCAAGUCUCGAAAGUAUCAUGCAGUUUUAUGCAUUGGGGAUGUGAUAAAAGGAGAUACUCUCACUAUGAUGCCGUGGUUAAUUCUGCAACACUGGG